rnacentral:lncRNA from 1 species
GGUUGUACCUUUUUGAUGCAACCAAAUCACUGUAACCAGUCGAGAAUGAUCAACGUCAGGAAGACACCCGCAUCUCUACAAUGAUGGAAGACUUCUAGACUUAAUAUUUAAUAAAAAAAUUUAGAUUUAAGUCUCUUCUAAAUUAGCAGAUCUGACAUCCGACUGAUUAAAUUAGGUCAGCACAUCAAUAUGUCUAACCAUCCU